UACGAAGGGGGCUAGCGUUGCUCGGAAUUACUGGGCGUAAAGGGCGCGUAGGCGGACAGUUUAGUCAGUGGUGAAAGCCCAGGGCUCAACCUUGGAAUUGCCAUUGAUACUGAUUGUCUUGAGUAUGGGAGAGGUGUGCGGAACUCCGAGUGUAGAGGUGAAAUUCGUAGAUAUUCGGAAGAACACCAGUGGCGAAGGCGGCACACUGGCCCAUUACUGACGCUGAGGCUCGAAAGCGUGGGGAGCAAACAGG
rnacentral:rRNA from 1 species